ACCAGGAGUAGCACCGUUGUGGGACAUACCCCAUUGUCCCGGCGGCGGACUUGCUUCUGGGAGA
rnacentral:snoRNA from 1 species